rnacentral:lncRNA from 1 species
UCUAGUUCUGCUUCUAAAGUAAGCUGCUGUCGGGUCUGUUCCUCCUGUUGGCUUGUGCAACAAAUCAUUCCUCAACGAAACUCACACUUAUGAUUCUGAUUCUCUUACUGAAACACCUGAACUACACCUUGAAACUGCCCUAAUACAGACUUGCUCAUAUGCUCAUUAAGUACUGAGUUGUGCCUAGUAGGGGUUGGGUUAGUUACCGGAUUUGAUUCUAUCUUACCUGGCUCAGGCUUCAAUCUGAUAUUUGAUUCUAUCUUACCUGGCUCAGGCUUCAAUCUGAUAGUAUGUAGUUAAAGUC